AUGCCGGACAAACCGGCAUUUGCGGAUGGGGUGGCGAAUGCGCUGGGGAAGGUCCUGUGUCCCUUGAGGGGACUAAGGUGCAAAGAUCUGGGCGACAACAUUUUUGUGCUUACUUUCCAUCAGCAGUCAGGAAAAAGGAAAGCCCUCGAUGACGGACCCUGGAUGUUUGGGAAGUCUCUGUUGGUGAUGGAGGAUUUUGAUCCAAGCAAGGGUAUCAAGGACUACAAGUUCACAACGAUCCCGAUAUGGGUCAGAGUGUUUGAUUUGCCACUGGGGAUGAUGUGUCGUGAAGCGGGCCUUGCAAUUGGGGAAAUAAUAGGAGAAGCCCUCGAAGUAGAUGCCGGCGCGGACGGUAUGACAGUGGGAAAAUACUUGAGGAUCAAGGUCCGUAUGGAUAUUACAAAGCCCAUCAUGAGGGGUUUCGUGCUAGAUGCUGAUGAUGAGAAGGAAAUAGAGGAGAAGAACUUAACAUAAGAAGAAAGGAGAAAGAGGGAGCAAGAAAAUUGGCGUCGGUUCGAAUAUGAGUUCUUGCCCGAUUUCUGCUACAUCUGUGGCAGGCUUGAUCAUGUUGAGAGUGGCUGCUCUAUCAGGCUGAAGAGGGGGGAGGAGAAGCAGUUCGGUUCUUGGCUAAAGGCCUUUAUACCGAAAUUCACGGGUGAAAAUAAUAGAGGCAGCUGGAAUGAGGGCCAUAACAAUUCUCGAGGGCGAAGCUAUGGGAGUGGAAGAAGCCUUAGUCUGGGUACCUCUAAAGGCAGGUCAGGCAGCGACAGCGACAGUUGGAGGAAGGAGAAAACAGGAUCAGGGCAACAGUCAGUAGAAAAUGGGACUAGGGAGGAGGAGGUCACAAGCCCUCUUAAGAAACAAAUUGCUCAAUCACGGGUGCAGGAGGGAAUCAGUGGGGAUGAGGACCCGGGAAGGGAGACAGAGCGGAGGAGGCAGCUCACAUUUGUGGAAUCCACAGCACAAGAGACACCAAUGGGGGGCGGAAUGGAGAUCUCGGGCUCUAAGGGGUUGUGA
rnacentral:rRNA from 1 species